GAAGCAGAACCAUGCGGUCAUCAGCAGGAAUGGGCCGGGAGGACUCCAAGAGCCUGCUGUGGUCCUGCCUGCCUGGCUUCAUGCUCCAGGUUCUCAGAGCACCCAUGUGAUCCGUCAAGGUCGGGUCAUUGCCAGCCCACUGGAUUAUGCAGGGCAGAGGGUGGAUACAGCCCCCAGGCCGUGUUGUGGGAGACAGGACGACUCACGGUGAAAAGGAGCUCAUUUUUUCGAAAGGCAGUCAGGUGCUGUGAAGAAGAGAGAAGAAAUGCUAAGCAAAAAAUAAAGAAAACGAACAGCCACCGUGGUGCACAUAAGGAAAAUGGAAGACGAGAAGGAAAGAAAGGGAGAAAAAAGGUUGCGGAAAUAAAGAAGGCUGUUGAAAACAAACACUGUUAAAUGGGAAAAGAAGAGCGGCAGCCUCUCAGUCCCCGCUGAAACGUUCUCCAAUGACGAAUGUGCCCUAAAUGGAUUGAGCUUUGUGAAAAGAAGCCAGAGAGAAAUUUGAUGUGGCCCCCUGACCUCUGGUAAUUUGUCAAGAUGACUUCCAGGAUGAAGAAGGUAUGACUUUUCAGAGGUUUAAAGGAGGCAGAACUUGUUUCUUCUGGCUGCUGGUUUCUAUCUUCACUUCUGCUCUCUGCGAAGUCUUUUCUCCGACUCGACUGCCCUCCCAUCAAGCAGGCCUGGCUCACAAUCUGGACACUGGCCAGCUUGUGAGAACAUCUGAAAGUAGCCAGCGACCUGCAGUUUCCUCGCUCCAGUUUUGCCUGUUCCGGAAGUUGGAAUCAGAAUCCCCUGGCCCAGGAGAGCCACCGGAAAUCUCCAGGACGAUCCCGGGGCCCACACAGUGCAGAGGAUUCGGGAUGCGGGGAGCCUGGUGAGUCACUGCCGCUCCGCUCGCAGAGAUGAGUGGUUCUGACUCACACGCUAUGGCCCGGGCUGCUCUCACACUGUUUCAUGGCUGAUACUCUGAAAAGAGACAUAAAACCUGGAUUGAAUGGAAUACGUACAAUGGAUGGAGACAGAUGACUUGCUUAUAAAUCUAUAAGUGGCCUCCAUUUCACUGGCUCCCUCUCGGCCUCUUAACCUUCACCCCUUGCGGUACUCAGGGUAACACGCAAGCUGGGAAAACACAGAACUAGUCCACGGUUUGUCAGCCUUUCAGCCCAGGUUCCUUACUCCACACUGGGUCUAACAAGCUGUUUAGCAUUUGCAAAAAGGGAGGUGACUUGGGGUACAACAGAGCGUAUUGGUGGAAGAGCUUGUGCAGAGCUGGAACUCGGGCGCUCCUUCUCAGCUCCCCGAGGAGCAGCAGAGGGAGGAGCAUGCGCUGUGUGUGUGUGUGUGUGUGUGUGUGUGUGUGUGUGUGUGUGUGUGUGAGCGCGCACGCUGCGUUCCAGGGUGAACAUUCUGAAGCUUCCCUGUAGCAGCUCAGUAUUUUAGGCCUAUUGAUUGAUUGACUGGGUGGUUUUUCUGACUUGGUACUUUAUUUUAUGAGUUGUUGUAAUGUCCGGCUGCAACUCAUUUUAGCAGAAUGACAUGCCUCUUCCCUGCCAAAGAGUAGGCAAUGUGACAUGACUCAUCAGAAAAGAAGCAUGACGCAUCAGAAAUAAACACUCAUGACAAGUGAUUCAGGGAGCUAAUAAAAGGCAGAACAUUGUAUUAUUCAUGUCUGGAUAAUAUUCAUGGAUAAUUCAGUAUGCCCAAACCCCCAGAGAGGCGGCUUCUAAGGCAAAUACACUGUUUCUGUGGACUUUGCUGAAUCAAACCAGAUGUGCUGCAAGAUACAUUUUUAUCAAGAGCUUUACUGUAUAAAUAGGCCCACCAGCCAGAUUCCUUCUUAGGUCUCAGAGCAGAGCUCUGAGUGCAUCCUGUACCCUGUCAUGGGUAUUACAAGAAACCAUCUGUUUCGGAGAAGUGGUUUGUACAUCAGCUUCCUCACUCUGAACCAUCAUUAUUUUAAAGUCCGCAUCCUCAAACCAAGAUAUUGCCAAGAAGUAGAGAGGAAAUGCCAGUCUGACUUGAUUUGUUGGCUGGAAAUUAACGUGUAUUUCAAUAAAACAAUGAGUUACUACAAAGAUAUGUAGCGAGGGGGCCCCCCAUACUUGCAUUUUUAUAAUUAUGUACAAUUCAAAUAGAUUUUGGUUUAAUUAAAUCCAUAAUCCAUGUAGUUUGCAUGAGCUAGAAAACAAAACCUUAAAAAGAUGAUAUUAUUUUUAGAACCUCAGCAAAUCAAAUCGACUUACAAAUAACUAAUUGCUUGCAUGACCAAAAGGGAAAUGUGCAUUGGUUCCUGGUCCUGCACUGUCCGUGGCACAGAAUAAGUGCUCCCUGAAGGCUAAUCAAACUUCACAGCGCACCGCAGGUCCGGGCGCCAGUGUCAGCAUUGGUAAUAGUGGUUACCCGGUCAUCUCUAUGAACGGAGAGGUUCACCUGAACUGUAAUCCCACUCACAACUGGCAUUUAAACAGCAACUGGCUUGAAUCAGUAUCCUGUAUAAAGCAGUCAUUAAAACCUAUUCAUGAUCGUUAACAAGGCAAAGGGAGCUUAGCAGUUAUAAUUGACAGAGCAUAGUAUUGCAUUAGGACCGGACGUGGAGAGUAAGGACGAGCUGAAGGUGACAUCCUCAUGCAUGGAAACAUCCCACAAGACUGACUCAAGGAACACCCACACGGUCUUUCAAAAUAAAGUUGAGAUUUUCAGCCAGCGGUAAAAAUAUUCCUGCCACUGCAAGUAGAUCUUUGCUGAUGCACCAUGGGACAAAGUACCUAGAGCAGGGAACUAAAUGUGCCUUAGUCUGACUACCAACAUCAUUUUCUUUACUCAUUAUGAAAAAUAAUGUUUUUUUCUCUUUGCUUCUCUAUGCUUUAUCUUAGCAAGUAAAUAAUCAAGCUAUCUCAGGUUACUGGUGAUAUGACAGGUAAAUGGAGCCUUGUUCUGCACAUUCUCCAGGGCAAUCACAACUAUUAUACAACAAGAAGUAUUUCCACAAGCUGAAUAUGAGUAAUGAACUUCAACCCUGCCCCAGAAGAAUAAAAGACAUCAAAUGUGACUUCCUGAAGCGAGACUGCCAGUGAUGCUGGGGAAGUGAAUUAAGAAGUGCGUGUUUACCACCCUGAACAAAAUGUGGAACUUGGUUUCACUCUAGGAAUUGGGCUCAGUAGAUGUAAAGCAACCAACAGGAUAUGUUUCGCAUAGCACAUUCUUAGAGUGUUUUACAAGUGGAAUUUUUGCUUUUAGCUCUACAAGAGGAAGACUAAUCAAAAGCAAACAGUUCAAUGAUUCUGUUAUGCAGCGUACUUGUUCUAUAGCUAAUUGCAAUUCUGCUUCUGAUGAAAAACAAAAUAAUAACACAUAGCAUUCUUUUUGCCCCCAAGAAUUUUGAUCCAGAGAAGGAGUAAGACAUCCCUAGAGUAUCAUUUUAGUGUUGAUAAAGGUAAUUGGAAAGUGUAACAUGGGCAGUAGUUUAAGUCAAAUCAACCUACCAGCUGAGUCAAAGAACCGGGCAGACCGGCAUGCUCACUCUGCAGCAGGGCUGAAGGAUGGCAGGCUCCCAUCUCUCCCUCCCUCCAUCUCCGACCCUCAUGAGGUGGAGAGAGCUUUCCCUGGUGGAGCAGUGCAGAGGGCCUGUUCCCUGUGAGCAGCGGGUCCCAGACAGGAGAGGGUGAUCAAGCCUUGCAGUGUCACCAGUAGCUGUUCCUACAGUGACUGGGAGUAUGGGAAAGAACCGGAAAUUGCAGCAUUUCGUCUGUCACUGACAAUAAAUGCAACGUCAAGAGUAAGAAAAUCAUCCCCUUCUUAAGACAGAAGAGUACAAAUUAACGAUAAUUUAGCAUCAACUCAGUUUGGCUUAAAUAACCAACAGCUCACUUUAAUCUCUUCCCACGAUGACUAUUUCCUGGCCCGAAAACAUACCUACAUUUAAUGUAUAUGUGAUGUGAGUCUCUUUCUCUGGCAUGGGUUAAGAUUUUGAUGUUGCUCUCUGUCCUCCUUUCACACAUUCAUGUAUUCUCAUUUAUAUUGUAUCCGUUUAGCUUCCGGGAGCUUGCCUGUAUAUUAACUAGUUUGAUAUGUAGCAUACAACCACAUGCAAUUAGAUGUUGAAUGUACACGCCCUGAUUAAUACUCUGCUGUCCCUGUUCCCGCCUUCCUUCUCCAGUAGCUAUCACUUCUCCAUGUAUUUAGAUUUUAACGAUUUCCCCAUCUAUUCAUAUAUGAACAAUUUAAAAGUCUAACAUGGAGGCUACAACACACAGAGCCUGAUAGCUUGAACACAGCUCUGCCCAGGGCAAGAAAACACUACCCUUGUUAUCAAUGCAAACAAUGUUGGUAAAUCAUUUUACUUUCAUAUCAGCAUUUUACUUCUAGAGGAUGCCUCCUGCAUCUUUGAGGUAAUUCACUGUAACAGAAGAGUAAAAAUUACGAUCGCAUUGAAAUGAUUGGAAGAGAUAAACAUUAAAAAAUAGAUGUGAAACCUCAGAUCUACCUAGCUGCUAUGUCCUAAUCAGCUGAAAUAUGUCACAUCAGAUUUUCUAGCAAAUGGCGUCAGGAAAACCAUGCAAAAUCUAAGCCAUUGUUAAACAGACCUGCCUCUGUGUCAUGUCAGGUAAGUUUUAUGCUGUCUUUUAGACAGAGUUAAAUUAUUAAUCACUGUGUUUUAGCAUAUGUCAUGUCUGGCAGAACUGGAACUUACUGAUGAUAUUCCACACCAUAACAACUAGAAAUUUUACUCUAAAUCUUACGUUCGGUGCAUAGAACUUCCCUGAUAGAAAUCACACAGGGAUUCUUCCCUCCCAGUGGUUUGGCCACCAGAUAAACCAGGUGACCUGCUGUGCCAGAUGUACUUGUUAGCACACUGUGGGCUUCAGAAGGGAAAACCUUCCUGCUUUUGCCCACUAAACUCUGAAACACGAGGGAGUGAGCUAGUCCAUUUUCUAGUGCUGUGACACGAUAUCUGAGAAAUGCAAGCUAAAAGAGGAAAGGUUCAUUCUGGCUACAGUUUUCAUGAGAUAGUCACUUGGGCCCUUUGUAUCUGGGUGUGUGCAUUGUGUGAGAGAGAAAGAGAGAGAGAGAGAGAGAGAGAGAGAGAGAGAGAGAGAGAGAGAGAGAGAGAAAUUCUCUUUGGAGGACGUAUACUUUCUGUGGUAACAUAUUUCCUCUAAGUAGAACUUACCUCCUACCCAAACCUUCCCCAUUCCCCAAGUGCCCAUAAAUCACCAAUGGAUUAAGUCAUACAUGACAUCAGAAACCUCCUGAUCCAGUCUCCUCCCAGAGGCGCUACCUCUGAACACCAUUGCACCGGAAACCAAGCUUUCAACAUAUGGGCUUCUGAUGACAUUUGAAAUCCAAACAACAUUAGGAACGACCAUGAGGAUAAACCCUCAGGAGGAACCGUGGGCAGCAGUACGGCAUGCACCGGCCAGGGACCCACAGCAUGUGACGGCCAGGCCAGCAGCCUUCCUUCAGCUUGCACUUUGGCUGAAGGCCAAGGGCAGGAGCUGAUCUGGAAGCUUCCCCACUAAGACAUAAUGCCUGAAAUGGGCCAAGGGCCCUAGGUUGGAGGCACCCUCUGCUCCUAGCAGGGGCAAAUGUAAGUUGGGCCUGAGGAAAGCACCUGUAACUUAUUCCUGCAGAAUCUCCACAGAUAAGGAUUGAGCAAUUUAGUAAUUUAUCAACUAAUGCUUUCUCACUGUUUUUUUUGAAAUUCUGUAUUAUUUCUAUUUCACUUUUUUUCCUCUAAAAAAAAAUAUUGAGCAAUUUGGAGUUCACGGAGUUCAGCAAGUUCCAAACUGAGCCAAUUUCUACUGGGGGAGAGUUUAACAGCUUAAAAAGAAAGAAAGAAGAAAAAGAAGGAAGGAAGGAAAGAAGGCAGGCAGGAAGGAAAGAAGAAAGAAUGAAAGAAAAGAAAGACAGAAAGAAAGAAAAGCAAGCAACAAAGAAAGAAAGAAACAAAGAAAGAAGACAGGCUGCUUUAGACCCCCUGGGCUUUGCAUAUUCAACUCGUGGUGAAUAAGCUAUUACAUAGUCACACAUGAAAUACGUACUGAUUUUGGUUUUGUCGGUUUUAUCCUUUACGGUUUUGUUCAAUAGUAUUACAACUAAUGAUAUAGGCAAUUCUAUUAGAAAUAGCGGGAGGCAUUAGGGUAACCAUUGUUGAUCACCUUGUAUUAUGUUUUUAUAUUAUCUAUUAUAUCCACCCUUUUGACUUGACCGAUUCUGUUCUGUUAUGUCACAUUUGGUUUUACUCUCUUCCAAAAAAGCAAUAAGAACAGUGGGAGCAAUGAAACCCAAAAUGUGUAAUAGUCACUGUACAAAAGAGAGGAAAAGAAAAUGCUCUAAACUAUAUAACUGCAUGUAUAUUUAAAUGUAUAAGACAGAAAAUGAUAUCACAGAGUUCUAAUGGAUCAUUGAACAGAACUGUUUGCAGUAUCAUUGCUGGAAUGUCCACUCUACAAACUUUAAUUCUGUGACUUGAACAAUUAUUUCUAAGAUGGCAAUAUGUAAUCUAUUAACUAGUGAUUUCCUACUGCGCAUUUUUUUCUUCUGUAAAUCUGUAUAACUUGUACCCUUCACUGUUUUUUUUUUUUCUUUUCUUUUCUCCUUAAAUAAAAAUUUAAAAAAAAAAAAAAAAAAAAAAAAAGAAA